rnacentral:RNase_P_RNA from 1 species
GCGGAAGGCUGGAUGACUGCGGUGAGGGUAACCUUGUCGAGGAAAGUCCGGACUCCAAAAAGUAACGGUGCCGGGUAACGCCCGGGCGGGGCAACCCGACGGAAAGCGCCACAGAAAGCAAACCGCCUCGCAUCAGGUCGGGCAACCGAAACCGAUGUGGGGUAAGGGUGAAAGGGUGGGGUAAGAGCCCACCGCGCCGCUGGCAACAGGGGCGGCACGGCAAGCCCCACCGGGAGCAAUGCCAAAUAGGGACCGCGUGUCGCAAGACAGGGCUGCUUUUGCCCCAGCAGGUCCGGGUUGGCAGCUAUAGCCGCAUCGGCAACGGUGCGGUCAGAGGAAUGGUCAUCCAGAGGGGCAACCCUUGGACAGAAUCCGGCUUACAGGCCUUCCGCGCGU